UACGUAGGGCGCAAGCGUUGUCCGGAAUUAUUGGGCGUAAAGAGCUCGUAGGCGGCUUGUCACGUCGGGUGUGAAAGCCCGGGGCUUAACCCCGGGUCUGCAUUCGAUACGGGCUAGCUAGAGUGUGGUAGGGGAGAUCGGAAUUCCUGGUGUAGCGGUGAAAUGCGCAGAUAUCAGGAGGAACACCGGUGGCGAAGGCGGGUCUCUGGGCCGAAACUGACGCUGAGGAGCGAAAGCGUGGGGAGCAAACAGG
rnacentral:rRNA from 1 species